rnacentral:rRNA from 1 species
GAUGAACGCUGGCGGCGUGCUUAACACAUGCAAGUCGAACGAUGAAGCCCAGCUUGCUGGGUGGAUUAGUGGCGAACGGGUGAGUAACACGUGAGUAACCUGCCCUUAACUCUGGGAUAAGCCUGGGAAACUGGGUCUAAUACCGGAUAGGAGCGUCCACCGCAUGGUGGGUGUUGGAAAGAUUUAUCGGUUUUGGAUGGACUCGCGGCCUAUCAGCUUGUUGGUGGGGUAUUGGCUCACCAAGGCGACGACGGGUAGCCGGCCUGAGAGGGUGACCGGCCACACUGGGACUGAGACACGGCCCAGACUCCUACGGGAGGCAGCAGUGGGGAAUAUUGCACAAUGGGCGCAAGCCUGAUGCAGCGACGCCGCGUGAGGGAUGACGGCCUUCGGGUUGUAAACCGCUUUCAGUAGGGAAGAAGCGAAAGUGACGGUACCUGCAGAAGAAGCACCGGCUAACUACGUG